rnacentral:rRNA from 1 species
UACGAAGGGGGCUAGCGUUGCUCGGAAUCACUGGGCGUAAAGCGCACGUAGGCAGCUUUCUAAGUCGGUGGUGAAAUCCUGGAGCUCAACUCCAGAACUGCCUCCGAUACUGGAAGGCUCGAGUCCGGGAGAGGUGAGUGGAACUGCGAGUGUAGAGGUGAAAUUCGUAGAUAUUCGCAAGAACACCAGUGGCGAAGGCGGCUCACUGGCCCAUAACUGACGCUGAGGCACGAAAGCGUGGGGAGCGAACGAGG